rnacentral:rRNA from 1 species
CCCCUACUUGUUAGUUGUCCAUCAUUCAGUUGGGCGACUCUAGCGAGACUGCCGGUAAUAAACCGGAGGAAGGUGGGGAUGACGUCAAAUCAUCAUGCCCCUUAUGACCUGGGCUACACACGUGCUACAAUGGUUGGUACAACGAGUUGCGAGUCGGUGACGGCGAGCUAAUCUCUUAAAGCCAAUCUCAGUUCGGAUUGUAGGCUGCAACUCGCCUACAUGAAGUCGGAAUCGCUAGUAAUCGCGGAUCAGCACGCCGCGGUGAAUACGUUCCCGGGCCUU